rnacentral:rRNA from 1 species
CAGCGCCGCGGGAAUACGAAGGGUGCAAGCGUUACUCGGAAUGACUGGGCGUAAAGGGCGCGUAGGCGGAUUGCGCAGUCAGAUGUGAAAUUCCUGGGCUUAACCUGGGGCUGCAUUUGAGACGCGUAGUCUUGAGUGCAGAAGAGGAGAGUGGAAUUCCACGUGUAGCGGUGAAAUGCGUAGAGAUCGGGAGGAACAUCAGUGGCGAAGGCGGCCAUCUGGGACAACACUGACGCUGAGGCACGAAAGCGUGGGGAGCAAACAGGAUUAGAUACCCCAGUAGUCCCUGUCUCUUAUACAC